UAUUUUGAUAGGGGUUGCAAUAAAUCUGUAGAUUGCUUUGGGUAGUAUGAACAUUUCACCAGUAUUGGUUCUUCCAUUUCGGGUAUGUGGACUAUCCUGCCAUUUGUGUUAUCUUCAAUUUCUUUCAUCAAUGUUUUAUCGUUUUUAGAGUACAGGUCUUCUACCUCCUUGGUUAAGUAUGUUUCUAGGUAUUUUUUUCUUUUGGUACAAUUGUAAAUGGGGUUUUCUUAAUUUCUAUUUCUGCAACUUCAUUAGUGUAUAGAAAUAAAACAUAUUUCUAUUUAUUAAUUUUGUAUCCUGUGACUUUACUGAACUCAUUUAUCAGUUCUAGUCAGUUUUUGAUGGAAUAUUCAAAGAUUUCUGUAUAUGUCAUCUGCAUAUAGUGAAAGUUUAUUUUUUUUACCAAUUUGGAUGCCUUUUAUUUUUCUUUUCUGAUUGCUAUGGCUAGGACUUCCAGUAGCAUGUUGAAUAAAAGUGGUGAGAGUGGACAUCCUUAUCUUGUUCCUGAUCCUAGAGGAAAAACUCUUUAUCACCAUUGAGUAUGAUCAUAGCUGUGGGUUUUUCAGAUAAGGUAUUUAUUAUGAUGAGUUAUGUUUAACAGAGAUAAUAUAUUUUGUUGAGAGUUUUUAUCAUGGAUGAAUGCUACACUUUGUCAAAUGCUUUUUCUACAUCUAUUGAGGUGAUCAUGUGGUUUUUAUCCUUCAUUUAUGUGAUGUUAUGAGCCUGAUUUGUGAAUAUUGACCCACCCUUGGAUUCCUGGAACAAAUCCCAUUUGAUUAUGGUGCAUGGUUUUUCUAAUGUAUUGUUGAAUUUGGUUUACUAAUGUUUUAUUGAAGAUUUUUGCAUCUAUGUCCAUCAGAAAUCUUGGCCAGACUAAUCAAGAAAAAAGAGAGGAUUCAAAUAAAUAAAACAAAAAGAAAAGAGAAGAAAAAUUGACAUCACUGAAAACAAGUAAUUAUAAGGGUAUAUUAAAUACCAACAUAUGGAUAAAUGGAAAAAAUCCUAGAAACAAUCUUCCAAAACUGAAUCAGAAAGAAAAAGAAAAUUUGAACAGACUUGUUACUACUAAUUAAAUUUAAUUGGUAAUCAAAAAACUCCCAGCAAACAAAAACCCAGGACCAAAUGACUUCACAGGUGAAUUCUAUCAAACAUUUAAGAAAGAGUUAAUACCUACUCUUCUCAACCUAUUCCAAAAAAAAAAAAAAAAAAAAAAAAGGAAGAGGAAGGAGAGCUACUAAAUAUCUUCUACGAGGCCAGCAUUACCCCAACACCAAAACCAGACAAAGACACUAUUAAAAAAAACAGCCAAUAGUCCUCAGCAUAAAGCACAAAGGUCCAGGACAGCAAUGUAGAAAUGCUGCUCAUGGUAUACACACCAUGCAAUAGGAAAACAUAGUAGUUUUUAGUCCUAUACCAAAACCCAGUAAGCCAGGAAAUCAAAUGUAAAAAAACCUGGACACUUAUUUUAUUUAAAUACCUGAGUCUGAAUUACAUAGAGGUGGCAGAAUAAGCAAUUGUUCAGAUGCAGGUGACCAAUGGCUGAUUUUGGCUUCCUAAGUCAGUCACUGUGCAAGAGAAAUUCUGAUGUUGAGCUUUGCCAAGAGUGGUCAACCUCUGGCUCCUGGCUCCUGUAACUGGAAGGGCCCCAAAUACUGAAUAAGACAGAAAUGAUGACUACAUUGGACACUUCUAUUAGCUUUUUAUUUACACGAACUUUCAUAGAACCAGGAUAUUCACAUAUAAAAAUGGAAAUGGAUAUUGAUCCCAAGCCGGGUAAGUUCUUUCUAUAGUAUUUCUGUUAUCCAUACAUUAAGGCAUGGCAAUACCAAAGUGCGGCAAACAGGUUCCAGUUGCCUGCUGUCUUAGCUUACCCUUCCUCAGCAGCAGCAGAUAGUGAGACAAGGACACAGAUACAGGUAGUUUAUUUGGGUAGUGAUCUUCAGGAAAUACCAGUAUAGUGAGAUGAGACAGGAAAGGAAAGGAAGCUAAUAGUGCAUUAUCAAGCCAGUCACCACCAGGGAACUCUGAAGUUAAAGGAAUCUCAACUCAGGUUAUGCAGAGAUUGCCCAGCUUAAAUAUUUCCACUGUGAACACUCAUUGGCUGACAGUAACCCUUGGCAUGAAUGCCACAAUAUAUCCAAACUUUUGUAAUGGGCUAUUCAGCCGACUAUGUUCCCCUGUUACCAGCAAGUAUUGAAGGUAUGUCUUAGAAAUGAGCAAUAUAGGACCAUUCCAUGUGUAUAAAAGGAAUGAAUAAAACAGAUUGGGUGAUCAUGGAAAUAGGAAGUUAAAGGCAGUCUCUCUCGUAUGGUAGACAGAAAUACUGAAAAUCAAAGUUAUUUCUUUCCUCAGGAGGAAGACAUUGUUCCAAGAGGUGACUUACGGACUUUCGCUGGGGUAAAGAGGCUUUCCUAAUACUACUCCUCAAAAAAAUUUAACUGAAAGCGUGUUUUCUCUGAAAACACAGUUCCAUGAAAAGCCACCUAGGCUCUCUUACUGAAAACCAAGCUGCCAUCUCAGAUCCCCAAUACAUUUGGGAUAAUUUAGAACUGUUAUACUUCUCAAAAUAAUGGCAGAAUAGCUAUGGCCUAAAGAAGACUUCUAACUCCAGUGUAGGACAUCUUUCAAUAUUCCAUAAGAACUGUUACUUGAAGGUUCUUCUAGCUUGUCAACCUUGAGACUAUUUCCCUUUUUGAACCUCUUAGUGGUCAGUAACUGUGGUGAGUUCAGAAAUGGGAAGGUAUCAAUGAGGUCAAUCUGGUUACGUGGAAAAUGUAUUUUUAAUAAUUAUUUUGGUCUUAAAAUUUUUUCUUAAACUAUGACGCUAUGCUUCAUGUAGAACAACUUGAAUAUAAAUAGAUUCCAGUACUUUAAGACUGUUCUCUGAUUUCUAGGGAAUAUAUGUAAUAGAAUUUUAUCCUAGUAUAUGGAAUUUAAUGAAGGUCAGUAGAGCUUCAUUGUUAAGGCAUCCUAAAGUGUUGAUAUGAAUCUGUGUAUUAAGUCCUCCAGAUAUUCAUAUACAAUGAGAUAAUUUAUCAAGACAUUUACCAAAUUAGGUAGCAAAACCUAGGGCAGAUAAUGAGGAAUCAAAGAGGGCAAAAUGAAAUAUUCAACUUCCAUUUCAGAACCAGAAAAUACCAGAGCAGAAUGCAUAUAAAGGAGUUCAUGUAUGAUGGUGUUGGGACACUCACUGGACGUUAAAAGAUGUGACCUCUGUAUGGAAGCCCCAAAAGCUGGGGUGCCAGGUGUGUGCACAAGCUCCUUUCCUGAGGUUCCUGCAGCCAUCCAGAGGAAGAGUGUGAAUAGACACCUGCUAGCAUCCAACAUCUCUGGAGAGCACUGCAUUCAUCCCUUAAGUCCUGUGACGUGUGAAUGUAAAACCUACUGGCCACCAGAUCUAGGCUAACAAGAGAGGGAGACAAGAGAUCCAAAGCAGGCUCUGGACUGACAGCAGAGAGCCUUACGUGGAGCUCAAACUCAUGAACCAUGAAAUCACGACGUAAGCCAAAAUUGGACACAUAACACACUGUGCCACCCAGGCACCCCAGGAUAAUUCUGAAU